rnacentral:rRNA from 1 species
GCUCCAAUAGCGUAUAUUAAAGUUGUUGCAGUUAAAAAGCUCGUAGUUGGAUUUGUGGCUCGUGCUUGCGGCUCGGCAUUCGUGCCGGUGUUUGCUCGCGCGGCCAUCCUUGGGUGGAACCUGUGUGGCAUUAGGUUGUCGUGCAGGGGAUGCCAUCGUUUACUGUGAAAAAAUUAGAGUGUUCAAAGCAGGCUUAUGCC